UUUUUUUUUUUUUGGUAGCAUCUUUGCUUUUGGUAUUAGGGUGAUAGAGACUUCAUAGAAUAUCUUUGGGAGUGUUCCUUCUUCAACAUUUUGGAAAAGUUUAAGGAGGAUGGGUAUAAAUUCUACUUUGUAUGUUUGGUAGAAUUUUCCUGUGCAGCCAUCUAUUCCUGGACUUUUGUUGCAGGGAGAGUUUUUUUUAUUAUAUAUUGUAUAUAUUCAAUUUCAUUUCUAGUGAUCACUCUGUUCAGUUGAUCUUUUUCUUCUUUAUAUAAUUAUGGCAGGCUGUGAGUGUCUAGAAAGUUGCCAUUUCUCCUAGGUUGACAAUUUUUUGGCAUAUAAUUGUUCAUAAUAUUAUCCUAUGUUUUAUUUUUAUUUUUUGUAUUUCUGCAUUAUCCAUUGAGAUUUCUCCUUUUCCACUUCAUAUUUUAUUAAUUUUUUUCUCUCUCCUCUUCUUGGUGAGUCUGGCCAGGGGAUUGUCAAUUUUCUGAAGACAAGCCAAUCUACAUUUUGGGUGAAACUUGAAGGAGAUGGACUUAGCCUACUAUUUGACUUGAUUGCCACCACAUGGUAAAAUAGCCUAAGUGACACAUUAACCAAAGGUUGUAGAAGCUACAGAAAUGAUCACUAACAAAGUUGCCCUAAUCUGUGCAGGGGGUGUUUUGUGUCUUGUUCCCCUACCUCUUGAGGAAAUCCUCCUGAGAAUUUAUCUUUAUCUGAACAUUUAUAAUUUCAUUGGCUGAGCUUAUUUGUCCACAGAUAUGAAAAUUCCCAACUUAAACAAACAAAAAAUACUGCCAACUAUAAUUAAUAACUAGCUUUUUGGUUGAGUUUUGUAUCCAUUUUCCUCUUAAAGGUCUGAGGAGCAGUGUUGUGCUUCAGUUAAGAAUUCUGUGUAAGUCAACUACACUCCAAUAAAAUUUAAUUAAAAAUAUAUUUUGUGAAUGGUAUAUUUAGCAUCUAUCUCAAUAGAUUUCAAAACAUCUUAAGUCUGACAGAAAGCUGAUGCUAAUCUUGCCCCAGGAAAAAUCUCUAGAACAGUAUAUAUUCCUAAUUUUAUCCCAGAUUUUUCUGGCUAACUCUUCCUAUAGUAGCAAUAUUCUUCCAUUUUAUAUUACCUAUAGUAGUAGAUGUGGUUCAAAUUAGUUUUCAUGGGACAUAUUGCUACAGUCACUUUUCUCCCAUGGUUUCAUUUUCCACCUGGAGCCUGUUACCAGUACCAUAGGGCUGGUCCAUUUAGCUUCUGCUUUUUGGGUGGCAUUUCCAAUAUCAGAGGGCAGGAUAGUUAUCCAUUGGAUAAAAGUUUAAUUCUGAAAGUUCUCCCUUAAAUAUGAGGGUAUUUUUGAAACAUUUAUCAUAGUCCAUGACGGCUUGUGUCGUCAUCCCUCUCCCACACCAAGUGGGGUCUGGGCCCACUUCUCCACCUGAGUGACUGCUGUUUCCAUGUGACAUGCAUCCAGUGGGAAUGCAGUGUUGAAGCUUAGGGGACAAGCCUCUGUCAGUGCUGGCCCCCUUCUAGGAACCCUCCCCCCACCCACUGCAACUCCUAUGCUCAGAGUCCUGGGUGGUGGUGUGAAGGCUAGGCAGGGGUGGUGGUGCUGUGUGGGUGCUGGGACAGGGUGGGCAGGCAUUCCUUAUCCUCCAUGGAGCAUCCCAGAUGCAAAAAGUGCUUACUGUGGGGUUGAGUAAAGGCAUCAGUAAACUUGACCUUUGAAGAAAGAGGCAUAUGCCCAAAUCAAUAGAAACUAUAGUUCUUGUAUCAGUUCUAUUUUGGGAUACAUGAAACAGGGAAGUAGGAAUACAGCUGGCAUGGGGACCCUCCCCAAAUGUCACAUCAAAAGAACAGUGCAGAGGAAAACAGACAGGAACAGUGAUGAGCUUUGGGGGUCUCCUUGGUGUGUGCAACACCAGCCCCCAAGCCAACCUUCAUUCAAGUGUUUUCACCAAGUAGCCACACUGUAGCUGUCAGCCCCAUGACCUGUCUGAGUGAGUUCAUGGGCAUGCAGGGGCCGGCCCACCCCCUUGCAGAGGCUUUGGGGAAAUUACCUUUGGUUUUAAUUAAUGUUCCCAGUUAUAUGAUAACUGCAUUUUUGAGUAUGAUGUUCAUUUAGGAAAAGCAUUUCAUCUGCUAUCUUCAACCACAGUUUGUUUCAUACACCCAUUCCUCUCUCACUCACAUACUUGCUCUCACUCAAAUUUCUCCCCCAGAGCUGCAGCACUCUGUGUCCUGCAUCCCCUCCAAGCCUUGUCCCUUGCCACACCCACCCUGCCCCACACAUCUGUCUACAGGCAUCCUCUCUGAUCUAUCACUUUCCUCCAAUUGGGCUGUCAGUUCUGCCUCAUCUCAGUGACCUUGGCCCUCCUACUUACCACUGAGCAUCAUAAUAGAAUGCCAAGAGCACAGAGAGUUUGGCUCCUCCUCCUACAGGUUUUAAAACCCCUCCUUUACCCUGUUGAUGCAGACAAUCAUCAUAUCUGAUUUUUAUAUGUGAGGCUUCUCAUGGUUCUGUAUGUGAGGAGGAUGAUGCCUGUCUUGGCAGUUUCAAAGCCCAUUUCCUCAUACUGGGAAUCUAGCUGCUGUGGCUAGCCUCUCAUUCCUCGAAUUUGUGGAGGUGGGCAUGCAUCAGGAGAGAAGGUUAUGGAAAGCCUGUGCAGGAGUGGCUUGGUCACACUAAGAUGCUACAUUGGAGCACAUAGUUGGGCAGGUGUCCAGUUCAUUACUCUGGGCCCCUGUGUGGGGGGCAAGGCUCCUUCUGUGAGUUAAUGGCAGCCUCUGAAUUCCACUCUCAGAAGCUUUGUUCUUGAUGUAUCUUUUCAAGAACAUGCUGUGAGUUGGUAUGCCUCCUGCCCAGGUCUCUGGACAUCUAUGCACUGGGUGAUUGGAAAGCAGGUGGCUCAGGCUGAGGAAGCACAGGCUGGCUGAACCUUGCCCUCCCCAGGCUCCAUCCUGCCCAGGCUUAUCUCACAAAAAACAAGAUUCCUUUUUCCUGGGAUCCCCCUCCCUCUCUGACCCUUUCACCUCUUCUCAUCUCUCAUGACAACCAAACUAGGCAAGGCCUCCCUGACUUUCUGGCUGGUGGGAGGCCCUGUUACCAUCCAAGGUCACACCUCCAGCCUGACCUCCUGCCUGGGGGCCAGUCCUCAUUUCUCCCUUGUUGCCCAGCAUAGCUCAUUUUGUGGCUGGAUCCACCCUCAGUUGAUGCCCACUUGAAUUGUUCCCACUUUCCAGUAUCAGACCUUCUCUGAUUUUAGGAGGCAGGAGCCAUCCCGACUGUUCCAUACUCUCCUCUGCUCUGGUCCCAAGUCCUGUCCUUGGGCCUCUGAAUUCUUUUGGACAUAUGUCACUCUCCCCACCCUUGUCACCACUCCCACCCAUCCCUGUUCCUGCCAUCUUUCUCUGAGACUGCAGAGCUGCAGAGCUGCAAAGCCCUCUUUCCACUCCAAGUUUUCCACAUAGUGUUUAGAGUGGUAGUUUGGACUUGUUUUUUGGUUUUUGUGGGGUUUGUGUGUGCAUGUGUUUCCUUUUUUUUGUGUGUGCAACCAGCAGCAACCCAGGUCACUCCAGUGACAAUGCUAGAUGCUUAACCCACUGCACCACCAGGGAACUCCUAUAGUGGUCACUUUUAAUGCAAACCCAGUUGCCAAUUCGUAGUAGCCUCCCCUUUACCCAAGAGUUCUUACUGUUCUUAGGAUAAGAGAAAAUGCACAAGGCAACCCCCUCAGCAGAUCCACUGUAUUCAUGUCUUCAAGGCAUCUUAGAAAUUCAUCUCAGCCCUGUCCUUCUUUUGGGUGAGAGUGACAUCUGAGCUGAGCCCCAGAUGAUGAGUGGUUUGCUCAGGAAGAUCUCAGCCCAGAAUCUUCCAGGCAGAGGGUCACAAGAGCAGCAUGCCCAAGUGGAAAUGAACUUGGCCUGUGUCAAAUAGAGAAAGCCAAGGCCACUAGCUGGAUGAGGUUCCUGUGGUGGAAGGAGGUGUGAGGGGGCUGAAGGGAGGGGUUGUGAUUCUGCCUGAAGGACAGUGGGAUUUUUGGACAGGCUGGUGCAGGUUCAGGUGAUAAUUGAACAGGGGCAUCUUGGCUUCUCUCUGUGGAGGAGGACAGGAAUAAGCAGCAGCUUAUAGGGUCCUGCAAGAAUCCAGGGGGCUUUGACAGAGACUGGGAACAGGGGGUGGCAGGAGAAGGGAGACCCAUGGACAGGUUUCUAGUGACAAAGUUGAGGUCAUCAGAGAAGAUGUGGCUCUGGGAUGAAUGUGUGCUCUGGGUAAAGUGUUCUUAAGUGUCACUUAUUAUCAACAUAUUUAAAAUGUACUGCCUUCCUCUUGGCAUUUUCUCAGCAUAGAACAAGGACAAAAAGACUCAUUUUCUUUUAUAAGUUGAUCUAGAAUUCACAUAGAGUACACUUUGCCCAUGAAAGGGUAUGAUCCACUGGAUUUUAGUCAAUUCACAGCUAGGGUACCCACCACCACAGUCAAUCUUAGAACAUUUUCAUCACCCACACCUGUUAGCACUCAGUCCCCACCCCCUCUGCCCACUGGUCCCUGGGGACCACUGAUCAGCUUUCUGUCUCCAUGGAUUUGCCUGUUCUGGAUGGUACAUAUCAGUGACAUCAGGUGAUGUGUCUCCUAUUGGAUACAAGCCCAUCCCCUCAGGUCUUCCCCCAAAAAAGCACUUACCCCAUUGAUGCCUUAAAUUUCUCUGCUAAAUGGCCUUACAUGUCACAUAGUAACCCAGGGAACACAGAGAUGAAAAGACUCUUAUACCCAAACAGUCACUUUUCUUUGUGCCAUUGUAUUGUCUUCCAAUAUUCCUGUCCAAGAAGAUACUGUCAUUCCUACCUUCUUGCUUGCUAAGCCCAAAGAGGAUUUUUUGUAUUUUAUUUAUUUAUUUAUUUAUUUAGUCUUUUUGCCAUUUCUUGGGCCACUCCCACAGCAUAGGGAGGUUCCCAGGCUAGGGGUCUAAUCAGAGCUGAAGCCCCUGGCCUACAUCAGAUCCACAGCAAUACAGGAUCCAAGCAACAUCUGCAACCUACACCAUAGCUCACAGCAAUGCCAGAUCCUUAACCCACUGAGCAAGGCCAGGGAUUGAACCUGAAACCUCAUGGUUCCUAGUCAGAUUCAUUAAGCACUGAGCCACGACAUGAACUCUGGUAUUUUAGACUUGAUUAGAAAAUUAGUUGUAUGUGACUCUGACUUGAGUACAUGUUCUGCCCUUAAAAAAGUCAUCAAUGAAGAAUUGAUGGGCACACAGAGAAAAUGGUGAUACUAUUCUUUUUCAAGAACUUUGUUUAUGGCAAAAUGGUGUAGCCUAUGGCUGACUCCAGUCCAGCCAUGGAAGCCCUCAAGAUGUUGAGGACACUGUAAGUUCCAGAUUGAUUUUUUUAAUCCGGAGAAAAUUAAAAAUUUAAGAAAAUAAAAAGUGUAAUAUAAAUCACACUGGGCAUGUUAUUUAUAACUUAAAUUUUCCACUUGGUGUUAUAUUGUUAAGAUUUUUUAUUGAUAGUUUCCAUCCAUCCAUCCAACACAUCUGUCUAUCCACUAUCAUUGAUAGUGGCAAUCCAUACAUCUAAACAUCUGUCUAUCAACUUUGAUAGUGUCUGUGUCCAUCCAUCCAUCUUUUGGCAUUGAAGGAACAUAUGGUUUGGAUGUUUGAUCUCUAUUUUGAGCAACCCUGUUAUUUUUUUUUGUAGUAUGCAUUUGCAUUCCUUUUUGUGUAUGAAAGCAUGGCAUAUAGUUUUCUUUGAGGUAUCAUUCAUUAGCUGCUAAGGCCAAAGAGAGCCCUCCUAUACCAGCCCCUGACAUCCCUCUGCCUUCAUUUUCUCCAUAAUUUAGUGAUAAUUAGCCUCAUUUUCCUUAAAUGUAAUGGUUUAAGAUUUACAGUUUUAAUCAGGAAAUUGGUGAGUCAUUAAUUAUUUAAAACAAAGGAGAAGGCUCAGGGGCCCUCCAGUGAAAGGCCCCAAGGACAUCAGGCCCUGAUCUUGGUUAUCAUUCAUCUCAUGUGGCAGCUAAAGGCCAAGAGGGGCUUUAUUUUCAUAUGCAUCAUUAAAAAUCCAAAUCACCUAUUGAACCAGCUCAGGCUUGGGUGUGGUAAGGAUUCUAAGCCUCAUCUUCCUGUUAGAUGUUAGCCUAGUUCUCCACAUAAGACAGCAGUGGGCUCACUCUGGGUUCUCUGUCACCCCAGGGAAAACAUCUGUCCCUACAGGCUCUUCUGCUUAAAACUCAUGUUAUUACCAAUAUUAAAUCCCUUUGAGAAAAUUUUUGGUCUGGAAUUCUUAAACCUUUGUAGAAAGCUGUGUAAAUCUCAUACUGUGUUGAUACUAUUGCAUUUUGGAGGCCAUGCUGGGAAGUGCAGAGAUUCCCCUCCUGCCCA
rnacentral:lncRNA from 1 species